CCUAGGACCCAAGGAUCAUGACCUGAGCUGAAGGCAGACACUUCACCGAUGGAGCCACCCAGGAAUGUGUGUGGCUGCUGACCUAUGCUUCGCUCAAAAUUGUAUUCUGGGAAGACAGUCAGAAACUUGUCUCUCACAUGUCAGAUAAAGACAAAUUAUGUCCCAAGAGUUCUACUUAACAACUCAACAACUUGUCUGAACCUGAAUCUGAUCCUAGAGAUAGAUUUUGGACUUGGAUUAAAUUCUGUGAUGGAGAUGUCAAGAAACUGAAGCUGGCAAGAAACUGAGGCUGGCCUCUGGAAUACUACUGGUUAAGGAUUGAGACUCUUGGUCCUGUAACCCAUAAGAAACUAAAUCCUACCAACAGACAUGAGGUUAGAAACAUCCUUUACUGUUCGAGCCUUCAGAUGAGAACCCUGCCUGACCAAUACAUUGACAGUAGCCUUGUGGGAAAUCAUAUAGCAGCAGGUGCAGCUAAGCUAUCUUCAGAUUUUUGACACAUAGAAACUGAAAUAAUAAAUGUGCGUUGUUUUCA